rnacentral:rRNA from 1 species
GACGAACGCUGGCGGCGUGCUUAACACAUGCAAGUCGAACGGUGAAGCGCUUUCCUUUUUGGUUGGUGUGGAUGAGUGGCGAACGGGUGAGUAACACGUGAGUAACCUGCCCCCUUCUUCUGGAUAACCGCAUGAAAGUGUGGCUAAUACGGGAUAUUCUGCGCCUGCUGCAUGGUGGGUGUGGGAAAGAUUGUGCCUUUGGGUGUUUUCGGUGGGGGAUGGGCUCGCGGCCUAUCAGCUUGUUGGUGGGGUGAUGGCCUACCAAGGCGGUGACGGGUAGCCGGCCUGAGAGGGUGGACGGUCGCACUGGGACUGAGACACGGCCCAGACUCCUACGGGAGGCAGCAGUGGGGAAUAUUGCACAAUGGGCGCAAGCCUGAUGCAGCGACGCCGCGUGAGGGAUGGAGGCCUUCGGGUUGUGAACCUCUUUCGCCAGUGAAGCAGGCCUGCUCCUUGUGGGUGGGUUGACGGUAGCUGGAUAAGAAGCGCCGGCUAACUACGUG